rnacentral:rRNA from 2 species
GGCUCAGGACGAACGCUGGCGGCGUGCUUAACACAUGCAAGUCGAACGAGUGGCGGACGGGUGAGUAACGCGUGAGCAACCUGCCCUGCAACGGGGGACAACAGUUGGAAACGACUGCUAAUACCGCAUGAGAAAAGUCGAUGCAGGAUGGGCUCGCGUCCCAUUAGAUAGUUGGUGAGGUAACGGCCCACCAAGUCAACGAUGGGUAGCCGACCUGAGAGGGUGAUCGGCCACACUGGAACUGAGACACGGUCCAGACUCCUACGGGAGGCAGCAGUGGGGAAUAUUGGGCAAUGGGGGAAACCCUGACCCAGCAACGCCGCGUGAGGGAAGAAGGUCUUCGGAUUGUAAACCUUUGUCCUAUGGGACGAUGACGGUACCAUAGGAGGAAGCUCCGGCUAACUACGUGCCAGCAGCCGCGGUAAUACGUAGGGAGCAAGCGUUGUCCGGAAUUACUGGGCGUAAAGGGUGCGUAGGUGGUCAUGUAAGUCAGAUGUGAAAGACCGGGGCUUAACCCCGGGGUUGCAUUUGAAACUGUGUGACUUGAGUACAGGAGAGGGAAGUGGAAUUCCUAGUGUAGCGGUGAAAUGCGUAGAUAUUAGGAGGAACACCAGUGGCGAAGGCGACUUUCUGGACUGACUGACACUGAGGCACGAAAGCGUGGGGAGCAAACAGGAUUAGAUACCCUGGUAGUCCACGCCGUAAACGAUGGAUACUAGGUGUGGGGCGUUCCGUGCCGAAGCAAACGCAUUAAGUAUCCCGCCUGGGGAGUACGAUCGCAAGGUUGAAACUCAAAGGAAUUGACGGGGGCCCGCACAAGCAGCGGAGCAUGUGGUUUAAUUCGAAGCAACGCGAAGAACCUUACCAAGGCUUGACAUCGACAGGUGGUGCAUGGUUGUCGUCAGCUCGUGUCGUGAGAUGUUGGGUUAAGUCCCGCAACGAGCGCAACCCUUAUUGCUAGUUGCCAGCGCGCGGGAACUCUAGUGAGACUGCCGGGGACAACUCGGAGGAAGGUGGGGACGACGUCAAAUCAUCAUGCCCCUUAUGUCUUGGGCUACACACGUGCUACAAUGGCCGGCAAAGGGCAGCGAACCCGUAAGGGGAAGCGAAUCUCAACCGGUCCCAGUUCGGAUGUGGGCUGCAACCCGCCCACAGAAGUCGGAGUUGCUAGUAAUCGCGAAUCAGCAUGUCGCGGUGAAUGCGUUCCCGGGCCUUGUACACACCGCCCGUCACACCACGGAAGUUGGGAGCACCCGAAGCCAGUGCUUAGAGAGCUGUCGAAGGUGAGAUCAAUGACUGGGGUGAAGUCGUAACAAGGUAGCCGUAUCGGAAGG